rnacentral:rRNA from 1 species
GACAGAGGUGCCGGGCGUUAGGCGGAAUCACUGGGCUUAAAGCGUGUGUAGGCGGGUCGUUAAGUGUCUUGUGAAAUCCCACCGCUCAACGGUGGAACCGCUGGGCAUACUGGCGAUCUUGAGCAGCCCAGGGGCGAGCGGAACAAGCGGUGGAGCGGUGAAAUGCGUAGAUAUCGCGUGGAACGCCGACGGUGAAAACAGCUCGCUGGGGACUCGCUGACGCUGAGACACGAAAGCCAGGGGAGCGAACGGG